AAAUGUCAAAUAGAGUGACAUACAACAAGGUGUUUGAAAAGAUUUGGGGUGCUUCAGGUGGUGUGGGUGUAAUCAUGUGUCCAUGUGGGAUUGUUUACUCAAUCAAAUUUAACCUCAGAGCUGAGAGUCCACGUGAUUUCACAGACCUUCUGCUGUCAUGGAAAAAAUUUUCCUAAUGUCACAAUCUAUGAUUACCCUCGAGGCUUAGUUGCAAGCACAAAUAAAAGAUGUCCACCUUUCCACCCAUUUGAGGGCAGAGUGCAAGAUCCCUCUGCUGAAAAUAUUAAACAAGCAAAAGAAGGAAAACUAAAAGUUCACUUUCCUUGGCUGGCACACA